CCUACGGGAGGCAGCAGUGAGGAAUAUUGGUCAAUGGGCGCGAGCCUGAACCAGCCAAGUAGCGUGAAGGAUGACUGCCCUACGGGUUGUAAACUUCUUUUAUAAAGGAAUAAAGUGAGUCACGUGUGCCUUUUUGUAUGUACUUUAUGAAUAAGGAUCGGCUAACUCCGUGCCAUCAGCCGCGGUAAUACGGAGGGUCCGAGCGUUAUCCGGAUUUAUUGGGUUUAAAGGGAGCGUAGAUGGGUUGUUAAGUCAGUUGUGAAAGUCUGCGGCUCAACCGUAAAAUUGCAAUUGAUACUGGCAGUCUUGAGUGCAGUUGAGGUAGGCGGAAUUCGUGGUGUAGCGGUGAAAUGCUUAGAUAUCACGAAGAACUCCGAUUGCGAAGGCAGCUUACUAAACUGCCACUGACAUUGAUGCUCGAAAGUGUGGGUAUCAAACAGGAUUAGAUACCCGGGUAGUC
rnacentral:rRNA from 1 species